rnacentral:tRNA from 5 species
GCCUCCAUAACUCAGCCUGGUAGAGUGCGUGCAUGGUAAGCACGAAGCCGUGGGUUCGAAUCCCAUUGGAGGCU